rnacentral:rRNA from 1 species
CCCCUAGAUGUUCUGGGCCGCACGCGCGCUACACUGAACAGUUCAACAAGUCUUAACCUUGGCCGAUAGGUCUGGGUAAUCUUUGAACGCUGUUCGUGAUUGGGAUAGACCUUUGCAAUUAUGGGUCUUCAACGAGGAAUUCCUAGUAAACGCAAGUCAUCAGCUUGCAUUGAUUACGUCCCUGCCCUUUGUACACACCGCCCGUCGCACCUACCGAUUUCGAGUGGUUCGGUGAACCUUUCGGACCGGCAAUGCCUCGUGUUGCGCCGGAAAGUCAAGUAAACCAUAUCACUUAGAGGAAGGAGAAGUCGUANCA